GUUUACUUUGAAGAACAUAUUUAACUUGUAACGAUACAGAGAUGAUUAACAUGGCUCCUGUGCAAGAAUAACAUACAAAUUAAUGAAACAUAUCACAUUAAA